UAGAGUUUGAUCCUGGCUCAGAUUGAACGCUGGCGGCAGGCCUAACACAUGCAAGUCGAGCGGUAGAGAGAAGCUUGCUUCUCUUGAGAGCGGCGGACGGGUGAGUAAUGCCUAGGAAUCUGCCUGGUAGUGGGGGAUAACGUUCGGAAACGGACGCUAAUACCGCAUACGUCCUACGGGAGAAAGCAGGGGACCUUCGGGCCUUGCGCUAUCAGAUGAGCCUAGGUCGGAUUAGCUAGUUGGUGAGGUAAUGGCUCACCAAGGCGACGAUCCGUAACUGGUCUGAGAGGAUGAUCAGUCACACUGGAACUGAGACACGGUCCAGACUCCUACGGGAGGCAGCAGUGGGGAAUAUUGGACAAUGGGCGAAAGCCUGAUCCAGCCAUGCCGCGUGUGUGAAGAAGGUCUUCGGAUUGUAAAGCACUUUAAGUUGGGAGGAAGGGUUGUAGAUUAAUACUCUGCAAUUUUGACGUUACCGACAGAAUAAGCACCGGCUAACUCUGUGCCAGCAGCCGCGGUAAUACAGAGGGUGCAAGCGUUAAUCGGAAUUACUGGGGCGUAAAGCGCGCGUAGGUGGUUUGUUAAGUUGGAUGUGAAAUCCCCGGGCUCAACCUGGGAACUGCAUUCAAAACUGACUGACUAGAGUAUGGUAGAGGGUGGUGAAAUUUCCUGUGUAGCGGUGAAAUGCGUAGAUAUAGGAAGGAACACCAGUGGCGAAGGCGACCACUGGACUAAUACUGACACUGAGGUGCGAAAGCGUGGGGAGCAAACAGGAUUAGAUACCCUGGUAGUCCACGCCGUAAACGAUGUCAACUAGCCGUUGGAAGCCUUGAGCUUUUAGUGGCGCAGCUAACGCAUUAAGUUGACCGCCUGGGGAGUACGGCCGCAAGGUUAAAACUCAAAUGAAUUGACGGGGGCCCGCACAAGCGGUGGAGCAUGUGGUUUAAUUCGAAGCAACGCGAAGAACCUUACCAGGCCUUGACAUCCAAUGAACUUUCUAGAGAUAGAUUGGUGCCUUCGGGAACAUUGAGACAGGUGCUGCAUGGCUGUCGUCAGCUCGUGUCAUGAGAUGUUGGGUUAAGUCCCGUAACGAGCGCAACCCUUGUCCUUAGUUACCAGCACGUUAUGGUGGGCACUCUAAGGAGACUGCCGGUGACAAACCGGAGGAAGGUGGGGAUGACGUCAAGUCAUCAUGGCCCUUACGGCCUGGGCUACACACGUGCUACAAUGGUCGGUACAGAGGGUUGCCAAGCCGCGAGGUGGAGCUAAUCCCAUAAAACCGAUCGUAGUCCGGAUCGCAGUCUGCAACUCGACUGCGUGAAGUCGGAAUCGCUAGUAAUCGCGAAUCAGAAUGUCGCGGUGAAUACGUUCCCGGGCCUUGUACACACCGCCCGUCACACCAUGGGAGUGGGUUGCACCAGAAGUAGCUAGUCUAACCUUCGGGAGGACGGUUACCACGGUGUGAUUCAUGACUGGGGUGAAGUCGUAACAAGGUAACC
rnacentral:rRNA from 1 species